UACAGAGGUCCCAAGCGUUGUUCGGAUUCAUUGGGCGUAAAGGGUGCGUAGGCGGCGCGGUAAGUCGGGUGUGAAAUCUCGGAGCUUAACUCCGAAACUGCAUUCGAUACUGCCGUGCUUGAGGACUGGAGAGGAGACUGGAAUUUACGGUGUAGCGGUGAAAUGCGUAGAUAUCGUAAGGAAGACCAGUGGCGAAGGCGGCUCACUGGCCCGAUACUGACGCUGAGGUGCGAAAGCGUGGGGAGCAAACAGG
rnacentral:rRNA from 1 species